AGUGAACGCUGGCGGUAGGCCUAACACAUACAAGUCGAACGGCAGCACAGUAAGAGCUUGCUCUUACGGGUGGCGAGUGGCGGACGGGUGAGGAAUACAUCGGAAUCUACUUUUUCGUGGGGGAUAACGUAGGGAAACUUACGCUAAUACCGCAUACGACCUACGGGUGAAAGCAGGGGAUCUUCGGACCUUGCGCGAUUGAAUGAGCCGAUGUCGGAUUAGCUAGUUGGCGGGGUAAAGGCCCACCAAGGCGACGAUCCGUAGCUGGUCUGAGAGGAUGAUCAGCCACACUGGAACUGAGACACGGUCCAGACUCCUACGGGAGGCAGCAGUGGGGAAUAUUGGACAAUGGGCGCAAGCCUGAUCCAGCCAUACCGCGUGGGUGAAGAAGGCCUUCGGGUUGUAAAGCCCUUUUGUUGGGAAAGAAAAGCAGCAGGUUAAUACCCCGCUGUUCUGACGGUACCCAAAGAAUAAACACCGGCUAACUUCGU
rnacentral:rRNA from 1 species